rnacentral:rRNA from 1 species
GACAGAGGGUGCAAACGUUGUUCGGAAUUACUGGGCGUAAAGCGCGUGUAGGCUGUCGCGAAAGUCGGAUGUGAAAGCCCUGGGCUCAACUCAGGAAGUGCAUUCGAAACUACGCGACUAGAGUCUCGGAGAGGGAGGCGGAAUUCUGGGUGUAGAGGUGAAAUUCGUAGAUAUCCAGAGGAACACCAGUGGCGAAGGCGGCCUCCUGGACGAUCACUGACGCUGAGACGCGAAAGCGUGGGGAGCAAACAGGAUUAGAUACCCUGGUAGUCCACGCCGUAAACGAUGGGUGCUAGGUGUCGCGGGCUUUGACCCCUGCGGUGCCGCAGCUAACGCAUUAAGCACCCCGCCUGGGGAGUACGGCCGCAAGGCUAAA